AUGCCGGCGAUGGCCUGGUACUCACCCAACUACCAGUGCCUUCUUUCUGCUCCAAGCAUCCAGGAGGCCCCUGGACCAGGAAGAAAAAUGACGUCAGAUGAAAAACGGAACAGGGAACCAUCCACACCCCCCAAAUGCUUUCCUGGCCAUGCAAAUUCAUUUUUCCUUCUGUAUGGCCGGCUGCCACUGAGUCCCUCACCGCCCGGCCUGCGCCCUGGAUCCCCCCAUGACACGGCCCAAUUGUCUCCCCAGCAUCCUGGGUUCCCUCCCCCCCGCGCCCGACACCCGUGCCCCCCAUCGCCCGCCUGCGCCCUCCAUCCCCCCGUGUCGCGUCCCCAUGGCCUCCUGAGCAUCCUGGGGCCCCCUCCUGCGUUCCCUCAUCGCCUGGCCCGCGCCCUGGCUCCUCCGGUGUCACGUCCCCAUUUCCUCCCCAGCAUCCUGGGUCGCCCUCCUGCCCGAUCCACGUCCCUCCAUCGCCCGCCGGUACCCUCCAUCCCCCCGUGUCACGUUCCCAUUUCCUCCCCAGCAUCCUGGAUCCCCCUCCUGCCCGACCCGUGCCCCCCAUUGCUGGUCGGCUCCCUGGGUGCCCCCAUCGGCCGCGCCCCCCAUCGCCGGCGCGCCCCCGUCACCCGCGCGCGGGGCCUCCGGGACGCGGGGGCGCGGGCGCGGGGCGGGGCGCGCAGGCCGGGGCGGUGCCAGUUGGCCUCGGGGCCGCGUCUCCAUGGCAGCGCCGCAGGCCUGCCGAGCCGAGUGCCGAGGCCGGGCAGGCCGGCGCGAGGAGCCGGAGCCAUCGAUCGCGGCGCGGGGACCGGGAGCCGGGGGAGCGGCGCGGCCUGCGUCCUUGUCCUCGCUCCGCUGUCGUUGCCCCCGGCGUUUUAUUGGCAGGAAUUCUGGAUUGCUGCUCGUGUACUUUCGCCGCUGCUGCUGCGAUUGCUAUUAGCAUUCUUACUCCUAAUAAUCGAUACAAUUGCUUUUAAUAAUUUAAUGUUGUCGCGGGCAUCCUCUCUCAAAAAUAGGUCUGGAAUUCACCCACGUCGCCCAACCGGGAUGGGUCUCCAUCCUGCCAUGAAAAUUAGGUCUGUGUCCUUGCGCACCCACCUCCAGUCAUGCUCCAAUCACACUGUCGUGUGGUGGGCGUCCUUUCCCUCCCCGGUUUCCUUUUUACGGUUUCCCCCGGUGCCAGUUAAGAAAAUCGACGUGCCGCCCUCCGUGGAACAGUGA
rnacentral:lncRNA from 1 species